GACGGAGGAUGCAAGUGUUAUCCGGAAUCACUGGGCGUAAAGCGUCUGUAGGUGGUUUAAAAAGUCCACUGUUAAAGGUUGAAGCUUAACUUCAAAAAUGCCGUGGAAACUUUUAAACUUGAGUAUGAUAGGGGUAGAGGAAUUUCCAGUGGAGCGGUGAAAUGCGUAGAUAUUGGAAAGACCACCGAUGGCGAAGGCACUCUACUGGGCCAUUACUGACACUGAGAGACGAAAGCUAGGGGAGCAAAUGGGG
rnacentral:rRNA from 1 species